rnacentral:lncRNA from 1 species
CAUCACCAGGCUGCAGUGGAGUAGUGCACUCUUGGCUCACUGCAACCUCCACCUCUCAGCUGAGGGUCCUGACUGUUAGAAGGAAAACUAACAAACAGAAAGGACAUCCACCCCAAACCCCCAUCUGUACGUCACCAUCACCAAAGACCAAAAAAAAAAAAAGAAAGCGGACACAUAGCUCCAACAUUUUCCCCUUGGAAUUCUCCAGUUUUUGUAUUUAAGAAAAAAUACAGUAAAUGGAGAAUGUUGAC